rnacentral:snRNA from 1 species
AUCGCUUCUCGGCCUUUUGGCUCAGAUCAAGUGUAGUAUCUGUUCUUAUCAGUUUAAUAUCUGAUAUGUCCCCAUCGGGGGACUACAUAUUAAAUGGAUUUUUCGAACAGGGAGUCGGAAAUGGGGCUUGCUCCAUCCGCUCCACGCAUCGACCCGGUAUUGCAGUACCUCCGGGAACGGUGCAACACUU